ensembl:lncRNA
UUUUUUUUUUUUUUUAUUAUUCACAAAAACAUUUAUAUUUAAAGGGGGGUGUGGGUGAUUUUUGAGGCUGCUAAUGAAGUUUAAAAAAACAAUGAUCAUCUGCAUUAAAGACAAAGGCAUGGUUGCAGAAGUAGAGGGUACGGGCUUGCCUGCAGAAUAUUCUUUUAAAUCAUAUUUUACAGUCCUUAGCCAUUGUCUCAGUUUAUGGACCUUGUGGACUGAUUGUAUACUUAAACCUUUUGUAAGUAUGCCCAUCAAAAGCCAUAAACACCAUGCUUAAAGCCACUUAAUCCUAUCCAUGUGACAUCUGGCCCCUCCAAUGGUUGUAAGCUGACCUUAGUGGGAAGCGGGAAAGGAAAAGGCGGAGGGAGAAAUUGGUAGCCAUGUGAUCAAUGGGCCAGCUUUUUAAAUCAUUAAUGCACAUGAUUUAUUUAUGGCCUUAUUUGGAUACUUGCACCCCUCAGGGGUGGCCACAUUCAGUCUGUCUGACUGUGGUGUAAUCAGACAUGAGUGGAGUCCGGGCCCCAUCAGGCAUGACCCUGAGCGCUGUGGAGCCCAAGCACCAGCAAGCUGUUCAGAGGACCCGUGCCCUGACCCGAACAUACCUGCUGUCCAGCUCCAUGCUGCCAAUACCACCCUCCAGUAACCAGAGCAUCGGUGAAUCUCUGAAGCUUCCAGCACUGACCAGAACAGCAUAUCGCCGGACCUCCCUGCUACCACUCAGCAUUAGUGAGCCCUCCCUGUUCGCCCCAGUCCAGCGUGUGGUUUUGGACGGGUUUCCUCGAAAUUGCCGCCCUUGUCCUCGUAAACGAGCUCAAUCUCUCUCUCUAUGCAAGUCAAGUGAAAAUAAAAAUGGACCAAUACCGAGCUACCAGCCAAUAUACACCCACUUUACUCAACCGAUAAGACCAGUUUCCAAACUAAAUCAGCAGCCCAUUUUACGGGCUAGGAGGCUCCCUGCUGGCCAGAGUGGCCUACGAUCUUCAGUAAAGCAGUAUUGGCAGGAUCCUCACAAUGAGACUUUAUCCAUCAGAGGGACACCUUGUCUUCCAAGCCCGCCUUCACCCUCUACCUCUGCCACCACGUCUCGCACUCAGCUACAUGUUUUCCUCCCGGUUGAAGGUUCUGGAGGGGAAGAAGACAAAGACAGUGAAUCUGUGGAUGAAGGUUUCAUGGAUGAGGUGGAUAAUAAAGCCUCAAUUCUGAGGCACAAAAAAGGAGAAUCAAAGAAAGAGCCUAUACAAACUGAUUGUGCAACAUCAUUAAAAGCUGAUUUGGUCCAGUUAGUGACCUGAGUGUUUAUUCAUGCCAUGCUAAUUGCUGUUUUACAGUGAAGUGAAUUCAUACACGAAUAUUAUCUUAGCCUGAUAUAUGUCUGAUAAGAAGUGUGAAUUAAAUUUAAAUAUCACUUGUGACUGUAUGGAAUACUGAGUAGCAUUAGACCAGAGCUGUCAAUGUUCCUUCCAGGUAACAGCUGUGCAGAAAUGUAAGUAUUUCCUCUUGUUAAUUAAAUGAUGGGUUAAAUCAUGACCUUUGUUGUGGAAAGUUCCUCACAGCACUCGGUCAUACUGAACAUCCUGACUGUAUCAGAGGACCAGUUUAAUUUUCAGAACUGGUCUGGUCUCUUAUGGGUUAAUAACCCAGUACUUCAUGCUAGAACAAAACUAAAUUUCUGUAUAUAACUGACUGUAGUCGCUGAACACUUGUACCAGAGUAAGUAAUCAAUAAAUAAUACAAACA